CACGAGAACCACAGCUUUAAAGAAGAUAUUUAUGGUUAACUAAACUCCCCAAAGAGAGAAAAGCGGACGAGUUUAAGUCUUUGUCUUUGUUUAGGUUUGCAGUCUCUCUCCAACCAUCUUAAACUAUCGCCCAGUUUAGAAAAAGAACACGGAUGCACCGAAUGCUCACCUGUGCAUUUAUACCACCUCCAUGAAUACACACCUGUGCCCUUCAUCGCCCCCCAGUGUCGGAACGAGAUCACUGCAUCAUGCAAACAGUUGUGGUUUUGUGUAGCCUCGUUUCUCCUGGUUGUAAUCUAUAAAAUCUCAUUCACAGCAA